rnacentral:misc_RNA from 1 species
UAAUAAAAAUAAAUCGUGGUUGUUUGCCACCUUUUCGUGGUGACGCUUCGGAAUUGAGUCGUCUUACUUUCGGUUAAGUGACUUAAAAUUUUUUCAUACGAUUUCAAAACGUAUUUAAUGUAUUAUGUACGUUCACGAAUAUCGAAUGUUUUAUUAGGUGCGGUCAUUUUUCAUGAAUUCGCGUCUAUAUUUUUUUU